GAAAAAAAAAAAAAAAAAAAAAAAAAAAAUUCAAGCUGCGCAGAUCUUAGGAGAAAUAUGAUGCUGCUCCAAAUGAAGAUACUCCUGAUCCUACUCUCGAUCCUGUGGCUGAUCAAACUGACCACCAACCUUCAACUGCUGCGACCCAAAUCUCCUAACUAUAGAUAUCUCCCUUGGAAUUAUACUUGGAUGGUCCUCUCAGAGAGAAAUGAUGUUGUUGGGCCACUUUUAAGACCUCCACCAAUUUGAUUUAUUCUUUUUACAGCAGGGAGGGCUGUGUGCAGCUCUUAGGGAAAGAGUGUUGCUUUUAUGUAAGUAAGACAGGGAUGGUUAAAAAAAGCAUGAAAAAGGAAAGAGAAUGCCUAGAAAAAAAGACAGAUAGGGAGGGAGAGAGAGAGAGAGACAGAGAGAGAGAGAGAGAGAGACAGAGAGACAGAGACAAAGAGAAAGAAGAAGAGAGCUGGUAUAAAAAUUGGUUUUCAACCUCUCCGUGGUUGUCAACUGUACUUCCUCCCAUUUUGGGACCGUUAGUUGGAUUGUUUUUGCUUAUUUCUUUUGGUCCCCGAGCCCUUAACAGACUUACCAAUUUUUGAAACAUCAAAUAGACAAUUUGGCAGUGAAACCUAUUCAGGUGCAUUAUCAUAAGUUACCUAUGAAGGAUCAAGAGACCCGAGACGAGGUUGUUAUUCCUUCCAGGGUGUUCCCAAAGGUCAUCUCCACCCAACCUAAGGAAGCAGACUCCCGCCCCAGGACCAAGAAGAGAGGGGCCACCCAGAACCCCCCUAUGACCGGCAAUCUAAGUUCUUGUUUGGGCUGUGAGGCAAAGCACUGCAAGGGAAAAUAAAGCAAAAACUAAAAACAUCUUUCUGGGUUCUCUGAGAGACAAGCCUGACUGCAUAGGGGUUGAUGUCCAAAAACUGACACCUCUCCAGGAAAAAGACAUCAGGACGGGUAUGGCCCCCAUGCCUCCCUGGACAACACCAGGAGAACCGGACCCAUUACAAGGUCCCCUUUAGUCACUGGAGGCCAGGCCUUUAUCCCUGCCUUUGCAAAGAAUAACAUUGCCAUCGUCCCUCUAUACUAAAAAGAAGGGGGAGAUGUUGGGAACGACCCUGUUUGAAUGUUAACUGCCUUGUCAGCCGUAAGUGCUUACUUACAAAGUUUUGGCCUUAGUGGAAAACUAUUAGAUUAGUUGAGAUUUCUGUGGAAAAAAAUUGAGGCCUCUAUGGGAAAGUACUACCCCCAGUUAAGAAUAAAUAGCUAUAGAUCUUAUGGACAGCUACCUAGCAACCCAUUCUGUUCUGUUUUUCCUGCCGAACUUUUUACCUAGUCAAUAUCUUGCUUUUGGGAACAGGUGUGUUCUCCCAGAAACAAAGCGAUUCUGUGUCAUCUCCCUCCCCAUACCCUGCUUCUGUGGGCAUAAAACCUGCCUGGGAAUAAUAAAAAAUUGACAGCUUGAUCAAUCAGA